UUAUAUGGCCAUACUUGAAGGUCUUCCU
rnacentral:piRNA from 1 species